UAACCCUCAAGCCUCGCUUGGUGUUGGAGCAUGCGUCCGCGCAGCUCUUAAAAUCAGUGGCAGUGCCCUUCGGCUCUAAGCGUAGUAAUUCUUCUCGCUAUAGGGUCUGGAGGGUCCGCGCCAGAACCCCCAACUUUCUAU
rnacentral:misc_RNA from 1 species